CGUACACUCCUACGGGAGGCAGCAGUGGGGAAUAUUGGACAAUGGGCGCAAGCCUGAUCCAGCCAUGCCGCGUGAGUGAUGAAGGCCCUAGGGUUGUAAAGCUCUUUCACCGGAGAAGAUAAUGACGGUAUCCGGAGAAGAAGCCCCGGCUAACUUCGUGCCAGCAGCCGCGGUAAUACGAAGGGGGCUAGCGUUGUUCGGAAUUACUGGGCGUAAAGCGCACGUAGGCGGAUCGAUCAGUCAGGGGUGAAAUCCCAGGGCUCAACCCUGGAACUGCCUUUGAUACUGUCGAUCUGGAGUAUGGAAGAGGUGAGUGGAAUUCCGAGUGUAGAGGUGAAAUUCGUAGAUAUUCGGAGGAACACCAGUGGCGAAGGCGGCUCACUGGUCCAUUACUGACGCUGAGGUGCGAAAGCGUGGGGAGCAAACAGGAUUAGAAACCCGAGUAGUCCC
rnacentral:rRNA from 1 species